GACGUAGGGCGCGAGCGUUGUCCGGAUUUAUUGGGCGUAAAGAGCUCGUAGGCGGCUUGUCGCGUCGUCCGUGAAAACCUGGGGCUCAACCCCAGGCUUGCGGUCGAUACGGGCAGGCUCGAGUUCGGUAGGGGAGACUGGAAUUCCUGGUGUAGCGGUGAAAUGCGCAGGUAUCAGGAGGAACACCGGUGGCGAAGGCGGGUCUCUGGGCCGAUACUGACGCUGAGGAGCGAAAGCGUGGGGAGCGAACAGG
rnacentral:rRNA from 1 species